UAUUCUGUUCGUGGGGGAUAACGUAGGGAAACUUACGGCUAAUACCGCAUACGACCUACGGGUGAAAGCAGGGGAUCUUCGGACCUUGCGCGAUUGAAUGAGCCGAUGUCGGAUUAGCUAGUUGGCGGGGUAAGGGCCCACCAAGGCGACGAUCCGUAGCUGGUCUGAGAGGAUGAUCAGCCACACUGGAACUGAGACACGGUCCAGACUCCUACGGGAGGCAGCAGUGGGGAAUAUUGGACAAUGGGCGCAAGCCUGAUCCAGCCAUACCGCGUGGGUGAAGAAGGCCUUCGGGUUGUAAAGCCCUUUUGUUGGGAAAGAAAUCCAGCCGGCUAAUACCUGGUUGGGAUGACGGUACC
rnacentral:rRNA from 1 species